rnacentral:misc_RNA from 1 species
GUAGGUGAACCUGCGGAAGGAUCAUUAAUUUCGGUGGUUUUCCACUGUUAUGAGGGGGGCUUCGGCCCCUUCUCUCCUUCCUUGUCUUUUUGCGUACCCAAGUUUCGUUGGUAGGCUUGCCUGCCAAUGACAACCUAUAACCCUUUUAAUUUUAAAUCAGCGUCUGAAAAUUAUAAUAAUUACAACUUUCAACAACGGAUCUCUUGGUUCUG